UAUACAUGCAAGUCGAGCGGACAGAUGGGAGCUUGCUCCCUGAUGUUAGCGGCGGACGGGUGAGUAACACGUGGGUAACCUGCCUGUAAGACUGGGAUAACUCCGGGAAACCGGGGCUAAUACCGGAUGCUUGUUUGAACCGCAUGGUUCAAACAUAAAAGGUGGCUUCGGCUACCACUUACAGAUGGACCCGCGGCGCAUUAGCUAGUUGGUGAGGUAAUGGCUCACCAAGGCGACGAUGCGUAGCCGACCUGAGAGGGUGAUCGGCCACACUGGGAAUGAGACACGGCCCAGACUCCUACGGGAGGCAGCAGUAGGGAAUCUUCCGCAAUGGACGAAAGUCUGACGGAGCAACGCCGCGUGAGUGAUGAAGGUUUUCGGAUCGUAAAGCUCUGUUGUUAGGGAAGAACAAGUACCGUUCGAAUAGGGCGGUACCUUGACGGUACCUAACCAGAAAGCCACGGCUAACUACGUGCCAGCAGCCGCGGUAAUACGUAGGUGGCAAGCGUUGUCCGGAAUUAUUGGGCGUAAAGGGCUCGCAGGCGGUUUCUUAAGUCUGAUUUGAAUUGCUCCCGGCUCACCGGGGAGGGUCAUUGGAAACUGGGGAACUUGAGUGCAGAGAGGAGAGUGGAAUUCCACGUGUAG
rnacentral:rRNA from 1 species